rnacentral:tRNA from 1 species
GGGCCGGUAGUUCAGCGGUAUGAAUACCCGCCUCGCACGCGGGGGGUCGGGGGUUCAAUUCCCCCCCGGUCCA